CCUACGGGUGGCAGCAGUGAGGAAUAUUGGUCAAUGGGCGAGAGCCUGAACCAGCCAAGUCGCGUGAGGGAGUACUGCCCUAUGGGUUGUAAACCUCUUUUGUCGGGGAGCAAAAGCCGGACGUGUCCGGCUGUGAGAGUACCCGAAGAAAAAGCAUCGGCUAACUCCGUGCCAGCAGCCGCGGUAAUACGGAGGAUGCGAGCGUUAUCCGUAUUUAUUGGGUUUAAAGGGUGCGCAGGCGGAUUUUUAAGUCAGCGGUAAAAUCGUGGGGCUCAACCCCAUCCAGCCGUUGAAACUGGGGAUCUAGAGUGUGCGAGAGGUAUGCGGAAUGCGUGGUGUAGCGGUGAAAUGCAUAGAUAUCACGCAGAACCCCGAUUGCGAAGGCAGCAUACCGGUGCACAACUGACGCUCAGGCACGAAAGCGUGGGUAUCGAACAGGAUUAGAUACCCUUGUAGUC
rnacentral:rRNA from 1 species